GGUCCGAUGGCGUAGCUGGUUAUCGCAUCUGUCUCACACAUUUGAGUUUUCCCGCAAGGGGGGUGCGGCACAGAAGGUCCCCGGUUCGAGCCCGGGUCGGACCA